UGACCCAGUGAUGAUGACUGGUGGCAUAUUAAAUCAUGGAUGAUGAAUAAUACAUGUCUGAAACUCUGAGGUACUA